CUCUCUCUCUUCUAACAUCAAUGCACCUCUUGGUAUGUGGUCGUUCUCAGGCCCAAAGGCCCAUUUUGCUUUUGGCUGCAACUCUGUAACUCUGUAACAGAGACCAAGUGCCUGCAGGGAGCAGAUGUUUGGGGCAGUAUCUGCUAAGGUGGCUUUGCUGAAACUUGGUUCUCUCAUUGGGUCUUGGAAGUGGCGAAUAGGACAUUCCUAUAGAGAAACUCAGAGAGAGACUGUGAAAGAUAAUCUUAAAGAGGCACUCACGAAACACAAGCUCCUUCUCUGGGAAAAAGAAUCAUCACCCUUGUUAUCCCAUGAAAAUUUAUCUUCUUUUCAGCUGAUAUGAGGACUUGAUCUGUCCUUUCCUAUAAGUGCCAUCUGUGUUUAAAUGAGGCUGUUACUCUAACUCAAAGCAGACUUGCAAGAGUAAAAUAAUCAAUCUUCAUCA
rnacentral:sRNA from 1 species